rnacentral:tRNA from 1 species
GGACCCUUAGCUCAGUUGGUUAGAGCGGUCGGCUCAUAACCGAUUGGUCGAAGGUUCGAGUCCUUCAGGGUCCACCA